UUUUUUUAUUUUACUUGUGAUUGGAUCGAUCACGAUAUCGAUCGACAAAAUAUUCCGAAACAAGACUGUAAACACAUACAUCAGCAAAAUGUCCAUGAGUCACUCGGAUGAAACACAAUACAGAUAAGUCGAAAGCGCUUACGCAAUGCAGCAGACAAUAUCGCCUAUUGAACGUCUUUCAUGCAUACAUUCACUACGCAGUAUAGAAUGAAAUUAAAUAACACGACAACAUCCUGACAAUUGUGAUUUGGGCUAAUUGUUUUGAUUCUGUUUUCGAUAAGAUAGUGAGAUAGAUUUAUAAGUUUAUGUCUCAGAUACUGGAGGACCCGGUUUUUUAUGACAAUAUUAAAGGCAAUAUUAUUUGCGACGUAGCAUACUAAAAACACACACGAAAUUACAAUGAGAACAAAGGAAUUUAAAAUGACAACAUUUAGCAAUCUUUUCUAGUGCUUUUUACACAUGCACAAUGAAAUUUAUAUUUUUAUGAUUAAGGAAACCAAACUAUUCACGAGGCAAUUUCCAAACAUUCAGCGCAUUAUCUUGGGUUCAUCUCUGUGCUUACACUUCAACGACCUCUAUUCCUUUCGAGGACCCUAUUUUCGUCGAAGAAGCAAUAUGUGUGUGGCGUCACACGACUCACCUAUUGAAAUACAUAAGUACGUAUCCCAGUGAUUCCAUGUCGUCCCGUCGCGACUGCUCGAUACCAAGGUGUGCGUUGAUAGACGCGUAACGCGCUGUACCUGCAAUGACAUUACAUAUUAGUCAUUGAAAAAAGUAAGCUAGAUAAUCGAAAAUUACUAAUUGGUAAUUUUUGGUGAAUCAGCAAAAUAAGCUGCUUAAUUAAUUACAAUUAAACAAUACUUUUAAAUCAGUCAUACGACAGUG